UCGAAAAUGGCACUGGCAGUUGGUUACGGUGAUUACUAGGCCACGAACACCUAAGGCGCUUGCUUGGCUAUGCAUAGAGGAGCAGCAGUCCAAGUUUCGGACCAUCGGAAAGCGGGUGCCCAAAGUGCCACUUGUUAAUGAAAUCGUCUUCCCUCUACCGUAUACUAAGCCUGAACUUCAACCCACAUUAAAGAAACAAGCGCUGUGUGACGUUAUCCAUCCCCGAGAACGUCCUUAUGCAUCCUCCUCACCGCUCGGAAAGUGACAACCCACUGCCACUACGGAUGAAUGUAUAUUUCUGCGCUGUUAAUUAUUCGAGUAUUUAAAAACAUAUAAGAAUUUAACUAUAAAACAAA